GGUUAACAUUUUCUUUCUUUUUUUUUUUAGACAGAGGCUCACUAGUGGCACGAUCUUGGCUGAUUGCAUCUUCCACCUCCUGGGUUCAAGAGAUUCUUGUGCCUUAGCUUCCUGAGUAGCUAAGAUUACAGGCGUGAGCUACUGUGGCCGGCCACAUUUCCCUUCUGGUGCGCGUCCUCCUGUAGCUGUGGGAUCAGGGGAGGUAGAGAUGUCUUGUAACUGACUCAAGUUUGGCUGCUUGCCGCAGG
rnacentral:lncRNA from 10 species